rnacentral:rRNA from 1 species
CCAGAAGGCGCGAAACCUCCGCAAUGUGAGAAAUCGCRUMAGGGGGAUCCCAAGUGCCAUUCUUAACGGGAUGGCUUUUCAUUAGUGUAAAGAGCUUUUGGAAUAAGAGCUGGCCAAGACCGGUGCCAGCCGCCGCGGUAACACCGGCAGCUCUAGUGGUAGCAGUUUUUAUUGGGCCUAAAGCGUCCGUAGCCGGUUUAAUAAGUCUCUGGUGAAAUCCUGCAGCUUAACUGUAGGAAUUGCUGGAGAUACUAUUAGCCUUGAGAUCGGGAGAGGUUAGAGGUACUCACAGGGUAGAGGUGAAAUUCUGUAAUCCUGGGAGGWCCGCCUGUUGCGAAGGCGUCUGACUGGAACGAUUCUGACGGUGAGGGACGAAAGCUAGGGGCGCGAACCGGAUUAGAUACCCGGGUAGUCCUAGCUGUAACCGAUGCGCGCUUGGUGUURGGGWRGCUUUGAGCUGUYCCAGUGCCGAAGGGAAGCUGUUAAGYSAGCCGCCUGG